rnacentral:lncRNA from 12 species
CUAUAUAUGAUCCUCUAGAGAUAAAAUACAGUUUUCCUUUCAGUGUUGUUUUUUUAUUUGAGUGUGAUUUGAUACAUGAUAGACUUUUGUUUUAGGCUGGCUCAUACUGAGUAAAACUAUAUAUGAAUUAUUCAACUACAUAUUUUUCAACAUUCUUCUUGUUCCACAAUAUAAGGAACAAAUUUACUUCCUGCAACAAAUAAUAACUAGGCUUAAUAUGCUUUCCUAGAAGAGUUUAGAUAUAGUUCUAACAAGUAAGCUUUUAACUUCUCUUUGAAUAAUCAAAUGUUGCAGCUAGAAAUCAUGUCUCUGGAAUGAAAAUAAUAAUAGUAUUUAAUAUAAUUGAGAUUAUUUGCUAAUUUUAUGUUUUUCGUUUUCCCCGACCUAGUAACAUCUGUGAAAAAGUGAAAUGGCAGCUGUCAGAAUCCAAAAGGCAAUCUCUUACUCCAGGAACACAGAGAGCCCUCUAUAUGCCCUGACAAAACAUGUCUCUUGAGGUAAAGCAGAGAUAUCUUGAUAGAAAUCCGACAGACAAGCAGUUGAGUCAUUCUGUGAAGUCACCUGUAGACAUUUCCCUUACAUACUUAGUGGCUCUGCAUCUGAAGACUUCUGGCUAGGGAAGCUAUACAGUAGGACAUCUGGAAGGUGCAUAAAUAAUGUUUUCCAGGUUUGUCCUAAGAGAUAGCGGUUGGUAAGUAAAUUUUCUCUUCCUCACCCCUCUAAAAACAAAUCUCUGCUAUGUUUCAAAAGUUUCCCAAAGGGUCUCCAGCCCAAGUACCAUAGGGACAACCAGGCUUCUUGUUAUACUUUGUAUUAGGUUGCCUCCCUUCUCUUUGCUGCUUUUUUACCCCCUCGCAGUACUUCCUGAAUUUGCCUUCCAAAACAGUUCUUGUAAUCAUUCUUGACUCAGGAUCUGCUUUGACACACCCCAAACUAGGACACAUACUACAUACUGCCAACCUGAUUUUGGUCUUUUACAAAUAAGCCCUUCAGUGGGUGAAUGGAUAACCAAACUGUGGUAUAUCCAGAUAGCAAAACAUUCUUCUGUGCUAAAAAGAAAUUUGCUAUCAAGCCAUGCAUCUAAAGACAUGGAGGAACCUUAAAUGCAUAUUACUAAGUGAAAGAAACCUAUCUGAAAAGGCUACAAGAUUCCAACUAUAGGACAUUCUGGAGGAAGGUUAAACUGUGGAGACAAUAAAAAGAUCAGGGGUUGUGGGAGAAGGGUGAAU